AUUGAACGCUGGCGGCAGGCUUAACACAUGCAAGUCGAGCGGGGUGAUGGUGCUUGCACUAUCACUUAGCGGCGGACGGGUGAGUAAUGCUUAGGAAUCUGCCUAUUAGUGGGGGACAACAUCUCGAAAGGGAUGCUAAUACCGCAUACGUCCUACGGGAGAAAGCAGGGGAUCACUUGUGACCUUGCGCUAAUAGGUGAGCCUAAGUCGGAUUAGCUAGUGGGUGGGGUAAAGGCCUACCAAGGCGACGAUCUGUAGCGGGUCUGAGAGGAUGAUCCGCCACACUGGGACUGGGACACGGCCCAGACUCCUACGGGAGGCGGCAGUGGGGAAUAUUGGACAAUGGGGGGAACCCUGAUCCAGCCAUGCCGCGUGUGUGAAGAAGGCCUUAUGGUUGUAAAGCACUUUAAGCGAGGAGGAGGCUCUUUUGGUUAAUACCCAAGAUGAGUGGACGUUACUCGCAGAAUAAGCACCGGCUAACUCUGUGCCAGCCGCCGCUGUAA
rnacentral:rRNA from 1 species